rnacentral:rRNA from 1 species
ACUCCUACGGGAGGCAGCAGUGGGGAAUAUUGGACAAUGGGGGAAACCCGUAGCAUCCAGCCAUGCCGCGUGUGUGAAGAAGGCCUUCGGGUUGUAAAGCACUUUCAGUGGGAGGAAAGGUUGAUGUUAAUACCUAUCAGCUGUGAUCGUUUACCCACAGAAGAAGCACCGGCUAACUCCGUGCCAGCAGCCGCGGUAAUACGGAGGGUGCAAGCGUUAAUCGGAAUUACUGGGCGUAAAGCGUGCGCAGGCGGUCUGUUAAGCGAGAUGUGAAAGCCCCGGGCUCAACCUGGGAACUGCAUUUCGAACUGGCAGACUAGAGUCUUGUAGAGGGGGUAGAAUUCCAGGUGUAGCGGUGAAAUGCGUAGAGAUCUGGAGGAAUACCGGUGGCGAAGGCGGCCCCCUCGGACAAAAGAC